AUAUCAGCCGCUAGCCACAAUGUGAACCUUUUUGGCGAGUGAGCGCAGCGAACAAGCUAAAAAGUUUCACAUUGUGUCGAGCGGUUGAUAUUUUACGAUAUCUAUACGAAGAAAACCCGAUUAUCUUUUUAUCGUUCUAUUACUGGUCGUUUCUUACUCCCUAAGACAGUUUUACGCUUGACAAAAGCAAGCUUGAUAACGUCUCCUCUCGCAUUGUGACGUCGCUGAUAACUUCUCCUCUCACAUUGUGACGUCGCUGAUAAUGCCUGGUCUCGUUUUGAAGUCUUGAUACGAGAAUUACGGAGCAACAGAGCAGGGUGAUAUAGGCGGAGGGAAGGACGAUAAAUUUGUAUAUCUGCGCA
rnacentral:lncRNA from 1 species